CAGGACGAACGCUGGCGGCGUGCCUAAUACAUGCAAGUCGAACGGUCUUUCUAUGGAAGCUUGCUUCCGCUGAGAAGAUAGUGGCGAACGGGUGAGUAACACGUGGGUAACCUGCCCAUAAGAGGGGGAUAACAUCCGGAAACGGGUGCUAAUACCGCAUAGUUUUCUUGAUCGCAUGAUCGGGAAAGAAAAGACGGCCUUUGUGCUGUCGCUUAUGGAUGGACCCGCGGCGUAUUAGUUAGUUGGUGAGGUAACGGCUCACCAAGACGAUGAUACGUAGCCGACCUGAGAGGGUGAUCGGCCACAUUGGGACUGAGACACGGCCCAAACUCCUACGGGAGGCAGCAGUAGGGAAUCUUCCGCAAUGGACGAAAGUCUGACGGAGCAACGCCGCGUGAGUGAAGAAAGGUUUUCGGAUCGUAAAACUCUGUUGUCAGAGAAGAACAAGUUGGAGAGUAACUGCUCCAGCCUUGACGGUAUCUGACCAGAAAGCCACGGCUAACUACGUGCCAGCCGCGGC
rnacentral:rRNA from 1 species